rnacentral:rRNA from 1 species
GACGAACGCUGGCGGCGUGCUUAACACAUGCAAGUCGAACGGUGAAGCUCCAGCUUGCUGGAGUGGAUCAGUGGCGAACGGGUGAGUAACACGUGAGCAACCUGCCCCAGACUCUGGAAUAAGCGCUGGAAACGGCGUCUAAUACUGGAUACGAGAUCAAGCCGCAUGGUUAUGGUCUGGAAAGUUUUUCGGUUUGGGAUGGGCUCGCGGCCUAUCAGCUUGUUGGUGAGGUAAUGGCUCACCAAGGCGACGACGGGUAGCCGGCCUGAGAGGGCGACCGGCCACACUGGGACUGAGACACGGCCCAGACUCCUACGGGAGGCAGCAGUGGGGAAUAUUGCACAAUGGGCGAAAGCCUGAUGCAGCGACGCCGCGUGAGGGAUGACGGCCUUCGGGUUAUAAACCUCUUUCAGCAGGGAAGAAGCGAAAGUGACGGUACCUGCAGAAGAAGCACCGGCUAACUACGUG